UACGUAGGCAGCGAGCGUUGUUCGGAGUUACUGGGCGUAAAGGGUGCGUAGGCGGUCGUUUAAGUUUGGUGUGAAAUCUCCCGGCUCAACUGGGAGGGUGCGCCGAAUACUGAAUGACUAGAGUUCGGAAGAGGCGAGUGGAAUUCCCGGUGUAGCGGUGAAAUGCGCAGAUAUCAGGAAGAACACCAAUGGCGAAGGCAGCUCUCUGGGACGGUACUGACGCUGAGACGCGAAAGCGUGGGGAGCGAACAGG
rnacentral:rRNA from 1 species